CCUACGGGGGGCAGCAGUGGGGAAUAUUGGACAAUGGGGGGAACCCUGAUCCAGCGACGCCGCGUGAGUGAAGAAGUAUUUCGGUAUGUAAAGCUCUAUCAGCAGGGAAGAAAAUGACGGUACCUGACUAAGAAGCCCCGGCUAACUACGUGCCAGCAGCCGCGGUAAUACGUAGGGGGCAAGCGUUAUCCGGAUUUACUGGGUGUUAAGGGAGCGUAGACGGUGCAGCAAGUCUGAUGUGAAAGGUCGGGGCCCAACCCCGGGACAGCGUUGGAAACUGUUGAACUGGAGUACAGGAGAGGUAUGCGGAAUGCCUGGUGUAGCGGUGAAAUGCGUAGAUAUUAGGAGGAACACCAAUGGCGAAGGCAGCUUACGGGACUGUAACUGACGUUGAGGCUCGAAAGCGUGGGGAUCGAACAGGAUUAGAUACCCUUGUAGUC
rnacentral:rRNA from 1 species